UUGAACGCUGGCGGCAUGCCUUACACAUGCAAGUCGAACGGUAACAGGCCGCAAGGUGCUGACGAGUGGCGAACGGGUGAGUAAUGCAUCGGAACGUGCCCAGUCGUGGGGGAUAACUACUCGAAAGAGUAGCUAAUACCGCAUACGAUCUAUGGAUGAAAGCGGGGGACCGUAAGGCCUCGCGCGAUUGGAGCGGCCGAUGUCAGAUUAGGUAGUUGGUGGGGUAAAGGCUCACCAAGCCAACGAUCUGUAGCUGGUCUGAGAGGACGACCAGCCACACUGGGACUGAGACACGGCCCAGACUCCUACGGGAGGCAGCAGUGGGGAAUUUUGGACAAUGGGCGCAAGCCUGAUCCAGCAAUGCCGCGUGCAGGAAGAAGGCCUUCGGGUUGUAAACUGCUUUUGUACGGAACGAAACGGCUCUGGUUAAUACCCGGGGCUAAUGACGGUACCGUAAGAAUAAGCACCGGCUAACUACGUG
rnacentral:rRNA from 1 species